UACAGAGGUCCCAAGCGUUGUUCGGAUUCAUUGGGCGUAAAGGGUGCGUAGGCGGCGCGGUAAGUCGGGUGUGAAAUCUCGGGGCUUAACUCCGAAACUGCAUUCGAUACUGCCGCGCUUGAGGACUGGAGAGGAGACUGGAAUUUACGGUGUAGCGGUGAAAUGCGUAGAUAUCGUAAGGAAGACCAGUGGCGAAGGCGGGUCUCUGGACAGUUCCUGACGCUGAGGCACGAAGGCCAGGGGAGCAAACGGG
rnacentral:rRNA from 1 species